rnacentral:pre_miRNA from 1 species
CCUUCAUCCUUGCAACGAACUUGAGCCAUUGAUUCAGUAAAACAUUCAAUGACACAUGCUUGUUGUUAGGAUCAAAAGA